UUGAAUUGAAGAGUUUGAUCAUGGCUCAGAUUGAACGCUGGCGGCAGGCUUAACACAUGCAAGUCGGACGGUAGCAGGAGAAAGCUUGCUUUCUUGCUGACGAGUGGCGGACGGGUGAGUAAUGCUUGGGGAUCUGUCUUAUGGAGGGGGAUAACGACGGGAAACUGUCGCUAAUACCGCGUAGAGUCGGGAGACGAAAGUGCGGGACCUUAGGGC
rnacentral:rRNA from 1 species